AUCCAGCUGACGAGUUCAAAAUAGGACGAAACGCGCAUCCUGGAU
rnacentral:hammerhead_ribozyme from 1 species